UACAGAGGGGGCAAGCGUUAUUCGGAAUUAUUGGGCGUAAAGAGCUCGUAGGCGGCUUGUCACGUCGGGUGUGAAAGCCCGGGGCUUAACCCCGGGUCUGCAUUCGAUACGGGCAGGCUAGAGUGUGGUAGGGGAGAUCGGAAUUCCUGGUGUAGCGGUGAAAUGCGCAGAUAUCAGGAGGAACACCGGUGGCGAAGGCGGAUCUCUGGGCCAUUACUGACGCUGAGGAGCGAAAGCGUGGGGAGCAAACAGG
rnacentral:rRNA from 1 species